UGGGGGAUAUUGCACAAUGGGCGAAAGCCUGAUGCAGCGACGCCGCGUGGGGGAUGAAGGCUUUCGGGUUGUAAACCUCUUUCGCUAUCGAACAAGGCUCAUUUUUUGGUGGGUUGGGGGUAGGUGGAGAAGAAGCGCCGGCUAACUACGUGCCAGCAGCCGCGGUAAUACGUAGGGCGCGAGCGUUGUCCGGAAUUAUUGGGCGUAAAGGGCUUGUAGGCGGCUUGUUGCGCCUGCUGUGAAAACGCGGGGCUUAACUUCGCGCGUGCAGUGGGUACGGGCAGGCUUGAGUGUGGUAGGGGUGACUGGAAUUCCAGGUGUAGCGGUGGAAUGCGCAGAUAUCUGGAGGAACACCGAUGGCGAAGGCAGGUCACUGGGCCAUUACUGACGCUGAGGAGCGAAAGCAUGGGUAGCGAACAGG
rnacentral:rRNA from 1 species